GGGUGGAGGCCGGAUCCUGGGCUGUGUCCCGGCGCCCUGUGCUCCGGAGCCUGCGCUGUUGGAUUCGCGCUCCCGCCCCGCAGCCCCCU
rnacentral:pre_miRNA from 1 species